GUGAUCCACCCGCCUUGGCCUCCUAAAGUUCUGGGAUUACAGGCGUAAGCCACCACGUCCGGCCAACACAAAGACUUUCAUGUUAUUUCUGGAAUAAGAAAAACAGCUACGGAAAAAAUAUAUCAACAGCAUACUGUAUACAGCAUUUUUUUUUAAAUGGAGAUUAAUGAAUCGUGAAAAUAAUAUGUAAGGCUGGACACAAUGGCUCAUGCCUGUAAUCCCAUCACUUUGGGAGGCCGAGGAGGGAGGAUCAUUUGAGCCCAGGAGUUUGAAACUAGCCUGGACAACAUAGUGAGAUCCUGUCUCUGCAAAAACUUUAAAAAUUACCUGGGCAUGGUGGCAUGCACCUGUAGUGCUAGCUACUCAGGAGGAUGAGAAAGGAGGAUUGCUUGAGCCCAGGAGUCUGGGGUUGCACAGAGCUAUGAUCCUGCCACUGCAUUCUGCCCAGGUGACAGAGUAAGACCCUGUCUCUAAAUUUAAAAAAAGAAAAAAAUAAAGACAAGAAAAUAACACGUAAAUGGUGAGCUAAACCAGAUUUCUUGAAUCAACAGUGCUUGUCAGUGAUUUUCGCUUCCCCAUUCUAUGUGCUUUUGUUCUUUUUUGUACAAAGAGAUUGUU
rnacentral:lncRNA from 1 species